GCGGGGUUGGUGUAGUUGGUCAUCACGUCAGUCUAACAAAAUCUCCUCUUCUUCAUUUCACAAUGUGAUGUGGAGCACCCGACGAGUCUUGUUGUGCACUGAAGGUCCCGAGUUCAAGUCUCGGAUCCCGUA